rnacentral:rRNA from 1 species
CGCUGAGUUUGAUCCUGGCUCAGGAUGAACGCUAGCGGCAGGCUUAACACAUGCAAGUCGAGGGGUAUAGUUCUUCGGAGCUAGAGACCGGCGCACGGGUGCGUAACGCGUAUGCAAUCUACCUUUCACAGAGGGAUAGCCCCAGAGAAAUUUGGAUUAAUACCUCAUAGUAUGUGAGAAUCGCAUGGUUUUCACAUUAAAGUUCCAACGGUAAAAGAUGAGCAUGCGUCCCAUUAGCUAGAUGGUAAGGUAACGGCUUACCAUGGCAACGAUGGGUA